rnacentral:rRNA from 1 species
GAUACCCUGGUAGUCCAUGCCGUAAACGUUGGGCACUAGGUGUGGGGGACAUUCCACGUUUUCCGCGCCGUAGCUAACGCAUUAAGUGCCCCGCCUGGGGAGUACGGCCGCAAGGCUAAAACUCAAAGAAAUUGACGGGGGCCCGCACAAGCGGCGGAGCAUGCGGAUUAAUUCGAUGCAACGCGAAGAACCUUACCAAGGCUUGACAUAUACUGGACCGCUCUAGAGAUAGAGUUUCCCUUCGGGGCUGGUAUACAGGUGGUGCAUGGUUGUCGUCAGCUCGUGUCGUGAGAUGUUGGGUUAAGUCCCGCAACGAGCGCAACCCUCGUUCUAUGUUGCCAGCACGUGAUGGUGGGGACUCAUAGGAGACUGCCGGGGUCAACUCGGAGGAAGGUGGGGAUGACGUCAGAUCAUCAUGCCCCUUAUGUCUUGGGCUUCACGCAUGCUACAAUGGCCGGUACAAAGGGUUGCGAUACUGUGAGGUUGAGCUAAUCCCAAAAAGCCGGUCUCAGUUCGGAUUGGGGUCUGCAACUCGACCCCAUGAAGUCGGAAUCGCUAGUAAUCGCGAAUCAGCAUGUCGCGGUGAAUACGUUCCCGGGUCUUGUACACACCGCCCGUCACACCAUGGGAGUUGGAUAUGCCCGAAGUCAGUGACCCAACCGAGAGGAGGGAGCUGCCGAAGGUGGAGCCGAUGACUGGGGUGAAGUCGUAACAAGGUAAC